rnacentral:rRNA from 3 species
GACGGAGGGUGCAAACGUUGUUCGGAAUCACUGGGCGUAAAGGGCGCGUAGGCGGACUUGUAAGUCGGGAGUGAAAACUCGGGGCUCAACCCCGAGCCUGCUUCUGAAACUGCGAGUCUUGAGGACCGGAGAGGAAAGUGGAAUUCCUAGUGUAGCGGUGGAAUGCGUAGAUAUUAGGAAGAACACCAGUGGCGAAGGCGACUUUCUGGACGGUUCCUGACGCUGAGGCGCGAAAGCUAGGGGAGCAAACAGG